GACAGUACAAAGCAGCGACGGGGAAGAACGCCUCCUGUUCUGGGAAAGAGUCUCUAGAGCUGUCUUCAGCUGCCUGAUGGAGGCCAUUUGCAACCAGCUCUGCCGUCUUCACCCGGUGGCCACGUGGUCCAGAGCGACCGUGAGGACUCGGUGGUCAUUCGUUCUCAAAGAUUAUGUGGCCAUUAGAGAGACGGUGCUGGCCAGCCAGAGGUUGAUGGCUCAGAACCAACAUCCAGCUCUUUGAAUUGACUCAGUGGUGAUGACCAGACUCAUUGGUCCAGAUGGGACAAGGACAGCCCUUUAACUUCAGUGUCCUGGAGGAGCAGCCUGGGCCCUCCAGCAGGGGUCUGCCUCCUCCUCCUCCGGAUAAUGAACAGCACGG